UACGUAGGGUGCAAGCGUUUGUCCGGAAUUAUUGGGCGUAAAGAGCUCGUAGGCGGUUUGUUGCGUCGGCUGUGAAAUCCCGAGGCUCAACCUCGGGUCUGCAGUCGAUACGAGCAAACUAGAGUGUUGCAGGGGAGACUGGAAUUCCUGGUGUAGCGGUGAAAUGCGCAGAUAUCAGGAGGAACACCGGUGGCGAAGGCGGGUCUCUGGGGCAACAACUGACGCUGAGGAGCGAAAGCGUGGGGGAGCGAACAGG
rnacentral:rRNA from 1 species